UCCAAACCCAUAGUCUCCACUCAUCCACUCACUCUGCUCUUCGCAGAGGCAUCUUCUCCUACCCAUGCUCUCCACUCACCCUUAUAAACGAUCUCCUUCGUAAAGCCCUGCAUCUCUCGCUCUCCCGAUCGCUUUGCAUCUCUCGCUCUCGCUCUCGCCCUGCAUCUCUCGCAAGAGUUGUGUGUACAUUUGGAUGCGUCUCACCCACCAUCAAGAUGUGUGCAAUGGAUGGGUUUAAUUACUGCAGAACAUCUUGAAAUGGAUUCUCCUGUAACAAGUACUCAUUUCAAAUUUGGUAUGAACUUCAAUACCAAUGUACAACUAUUUGUAGCACUUGUAAGGUUGGAAAGCCUAUUUUUGAAGUUGAAACCUAAUUUGUUUGUCAUCCGAAGUCAAAGUGGAUCUCUUUUUACACUGGCACACAGAGAGUAUUAUUAGGUGAUUCUCUACUGGAUAUGAUUUUACAUACUGGAAUACAAUGAUGCAGGGCACUUACGAGUUCUUCAGCCAUUGAUUCCACUUGUUCGACACAGGGCUGUGUUGGCGUUGUCUGGAUAUUACAGAUCACGAACUGCUGUUGCUCCUUUUGAACGAUUGAGAAUUCUUCUCCAGGAGUAGGAACCCUUUUGUGCUUGAACUGGAUCUCGAACCAUUUAAUGCUACAUUUCCUCGARUGUCACGCUCUUCAUCCAUUGGCAAUGGAGUUCAGUUCCUCAACCGCCACCUCUCUUCAAUCAUGUUCCGAAACAAAGAUUGUAUGCAGCCGCUUCUGGAUUUCUUUCGUGCCUACAAACAUAAAGGAUAUGUGACAUCAUGUUGCGUUUGUUGUCGCAUUCAGCAACCUUGGCUACCUGGCAAUUUGUUUGUCUCAUCUUCUUUUUGGCUUCAAAGCUGUUAAAAACAAUUCCUCAGGUUUUAAGCAAGUGUGAUUAUGAUGGCGUUGUUGCUCAUAUAUUCUGUUURAGGAGUCUGCCGACUUUGUAUAAAAAGGAUAACUGCAGGUUUAAUAUAUUCUUCUGCUUUAUGAUGCGUAAAUAGGAAAAYGUUGAACUUGAAAUUAUAUGUAGGUUUUAAAUAUUCAUUUUGCUAAUGAAAUGUUCUGAUGGCUUAUUGAUUUGUU